rnacentral:rRNA from 1 species
UACGUAGGGGGCAAGCGUUGUCCGGAAUCAUUGGGCGUAAAGAGCGCGUAGGCGGUCCGGUAAGUCCGCUGUGAAAGUCAAGGGCUCAACCCUUGAAUGCCGGUGGAUACUGUCGGGCUAGAGUCCGGAAGAGGCGAGUGGAAUUCCUGGUGUAGCGGUGAAAUGCGCAGAUAUCGGGAAGAACACCCGUGGCGAAGGCGGCUCUCUGGAACGGUACUGACGCUGAGAUGCGAAAGCGUGGGGAGCGAACAGG